GACGAACGCUGGCGGCGUGCUUAACACAUGCAAGUCGAACGGAAAGGCCCUGCUUGCUGGCUGCUCGAUUGGCGAACGGGUGGGUAACACGUUGGUGAUCUGCCUCUUACUUCGGGAUAAGCCCUGGAAACUGGGUCUAAUACUGGACAGGACCAUGCUGGAGGUGGGGUGGUGGAGAGAUUAGUUUCGGUGAGGGGUGAGUGGGCGGCCUAUCAGCCUGUUGGUGGGGUCAUGGCCUACCAAGGCGUCGACGGGUAGCCGGCCUGAGAGGGUGGGAGGCCAAAUUGGGACUCUGAUACUGAGAAGACGCCUAGGGUAGGCAGCAAGGGAGAAGAGGGGAAAAUGGGAGAAAGCCUGAUGCAGCGACGCAGCGUGGGGGAGGAAGGGAUGAGGGUUGUAAGGUUCUUACGGCCAUGUACAAGGGCUGGUGAUGACGGUAGUGGUAGAAGAAGCACCGGCUAACUACGUG
rnacentral:rRNA from 1 species